AGACGCAGAGAACUGAAACAUCUAAGUACCUGCAGGAAGAGAAAGAAAAUUCGAUUCCCUGAGUAGCGGCGAGCGAAACGGGAAAAGCCCAAACCAACAAGCUUGCUUGUUGGGGUUGUAGGACUCCAAUAUGGUAGUUCUUUCAGAUAGUCGAAUGACUUGGAAAAGUCAGUCAAAGAGGGUAAAAACCCCGUAGACGAAAUGUGGAAGACACCUAGGAGGAUCCUGAGUACGGCGGAACACGAGAAAUUCCGU
rnacentral:rRNA from 1 species